rnacentral:rRNA from 1 species
AGAGUUUGAUCAUGGUUCAGGAUGAACGCUAGCUACAGGCUUAACACAUGCAAGUCGAGGGGAAACGACAUCGAAAGCUUGCUUUUGAUGGGCGUCGACCGGCGCACGGGUGAGUAACGCGUAUCCAACCUGCCCACCACUUGGGGAUAACCUUGCGAAAGUAAGACUAAUACCCAAUGACGUCUCUAGAAGACAUCUGAAGGAGAUUAAAGAUUUAUCGGUGAUGGACGGGGAUGCGUCUGAUUAGCUUGUUGGCGGGGUAACGGCCCACAAGGCGACGAUCAGUAGGGGUUCUGAGAGGAAGGUCCCCCANAUUGGAACUGAGACACGGUCCAAACUCCUACGGGAGCA